GGAGAGAUGGCCGAGAGGCUGAAGGCGGUUGACUCGAAAUCAACUGUAGGGGCAACCCUACCGGGGGUUCAAAUCCCUCUCUCUCCGCCA
rnacentral:tRNA from 4 species